CAGGUAAUCACCUCCCCUGACUUGCGUGUAAAAUACUAGCAGAGGCGUCCGAGCCAAGAAAUCCCCUACCCACUACCAUAUAUAUAAAGAGAUUUGAAUUAGUUUAUUCUAUGCACAUUCAUUAUUAGACAUCUUCUCUUGCCUUCUCCGUCAUCUGCUCUCACGUUUCUGCGAAAUUUUUUUUUAUCCAUCUCCGCUAGCAUUUCACAGGAAACAAUAGAAGUAAUUUGAUUUCUUCAAACGAAAGUUUCUUUCGUCAUUCUGGUCCAUAUUAAUAUACAGGAAUUUGGCAGGUGCAUACUUUAGAGAUUAAGGAUGUUAGGAGAUAUUGUCACCAGAUGUCUUCUGUUGCUUUUUGGGUAUGCCUACCCUGCUUUUGAAUGUUUCAAAUCUAUAGAGAAUAACAGAGUUGAAAAAGAAGAACUUCGAUUUUGGUGUCAAUAUUGGGUCAUUAUUGCAAUUCUUACUAUAUGUGAGAGGAUAGGGGAUACAUUUGUUUCAUGGUUGCCAAUGUAUGGUGAGAUUAAGCUGGCACUCUUUAUCUGCUUGUGGUAUCCAAAAACAAAGGGAACUGGCUACAUCUAUGAAACUUUGCUGAGGCCUUUUGUAACAAGGCAUGAAACCGAUAUCGAGAGGAAGCUACUGGAGUUGAGAGCUAGAGCCUGGGACUUUGCACUUUACUAUUGGCAAAACUGCACAGAUUUGGGGCAGAGUGCAUUCUUUCAAGUUCUUGAGUACUUGACUGCUCAACCAGGAAAAUUUUCAGGCAAACGCGCCAAGGUAAAAAAUUUUUGAACAAACUAUACAAAAGCACAGAAGAUCAUCCCAUUACUCCUAGUGGACACAAGGGAAAGAUUCAAAUAUACACUAAAACCUAGCUGCAAGCAACAACUUUGAUAUCUGCAAGCAACAACUUGCUAUAUUCAAUAAGGAAUCCUUCGGUUGGUUCCUUUAUUAAGACUUGCUUAUUCUCAUUUGCACCCAACAAAUUCGACCCAAUCUUUCUUUGGGUCUUUCAAGCUUAUAAGCUUCAUCAUUCCUGUCCGAUAUCCCCUGCAUCACAGAUAAGCAACCUGACACUCUUCCUCAAUCCUCAGCCUGUCAAUUAUACAACUACUGAUUUUAUUAUUUCAUUUCCUCAUCUGCAAAUUGAAGAUUGUGAAUUGUGAUUUAACAAUUUUUAAUACCCGUUAUUAAGCAAAUCCCACACAUACAGAAACAAAGCUUGGAUUAUUCAAUAUGUAAUCAAUCAUGAUUAUAAUAUACAAAACAAAACUAAAUCAAUCAAUAAGAGUACUAAACGCGAUACUGCUAACCAACCUUGCAGAAGGCGAGCAAGUACGAACCCAGCGCACCCCCGGCACCACCGGGUCUAAUAAGUGAACUGCCCUCAAUGAGCAAGCACAAGAACAAGAAGUAGCAACCACAGCUGUUCGGCAGCACAAUCUACCGUGCAGUUUCGGAGUCACCAAAAUCCAACCACGUUCAAGUCCACCUCCACGAACAAACAGAAGUUGUACUUUCGGUGGACCCAAGCACCGCCCCUGAAUCUGAUGUCAGUGACAAGCUCCAACGGGCCCGAAUGAGGCUCCGCCGUUAGGAGCCAAUCCAAAACUGAAGAUUGAAACCAAAUUGUACAAAAACCAGUCAAACCUUAUAGAUAGAAGGAAAAGAAAAAAAACACCUUUGUAAUUGUUUUCUUCAUUUCUGAAUCCAGUUUGAUUUAUAUUCAUGAUUUUGCUCGUCUUUGUAAUCUUUGAGUGUACAAAUUUAAGAGCACACACUGAACUGCUACAGCAUUUGAAUUACUACAAAAAAAACCAUCAGCCAGUGCUAUCUGUCCAUCCGGACCCGAAUGGCACGAAGAAUCCGAUCAAAGGUUCUGGUAAUACUAGGAAUCACAUGGAGACUAAUGAACCGAAUACAAGAAGUGAUGGGGUUGCGCACAGAAAAUUGCAGCCAGAGGCGGCGGAGGAAGUGUUGGCUCGAUGAAUCCGGUGACGACGACAUAGGCUGGAGGUAGGCCCACGCCGCCUGCUUGACGAGGCGGUUGCGAAUAGAAAUUUCGCAAGCGGAACCGCAGGCGGAAGCAGCGCCAGUGGGGGAGUUGACGGCUGUGGAAGGGAGGAUGUCCUUAAGAGAAGUGUAAGAUAAGGAGGAUUUGAAAGAGGACAGCUCGAAGUCAAGUGGUGGAGAGGAGGCGACGCCGUUGCCGUUUGUGUGGUGAGGAGGGAGGCUGGAGGUGUGGAGAGGUUUGGAAGGGAUAGCAAGCUCAGUGGGUAUGACUACAGAUGUGGCAAUGGAGUUCCGGCGGCGGAGAGCUGGUUGAGGCCCUGCUUUAUCCAUGGAGAGAGAGGGAGAAAGGGGGCCGUUAAAAAUAAUGGCGAAAGAUUUUCAAAGAAGAGAAGAAGGGACACACACCCCCUCUCUCUCUUUUUGUCGCAACGGCGGCUCGUUUUGGUAGUGGUGAGGUGCGAAUGCUAUUGGACCGCCAAUCGUUGGCGUUUGUUGCCUUCGUCUUUUAUCUCAUGUGGGCCUUUUUCCAUCCGCCCCAUAAGUUUUUCGAUAUUUACUUUUGGUACCAACUUUUGUUUUUGUUUAAUUUUAUUCAUAAUCCUUCAACUUAGAUAAUAUAUCAAUA
rnacentral:misc_RNA from 1 species